CCCUUAGAUGUCCUGGGCCGCACGCGCGUUACACUGAUGCAUUCAACGAGCUUAUAACCUUGGCCGAGAGGCCUGGGCAAUCUUGUUAACGUGCAUCGUGAUAGGGAUAGAUUAUUGAAAUUAUUAAUCUUGAACGAGGAAUUCCUAGUAAACGCAGAUCAUCAAUCUGCAUUGAUUACGUCCCUGCCCUUUGUACACACCGCCCGUCGCACCUACCGAUUGGAUGGUCCGGUGAAGCCUCGGGAUUGUGGUUCUUGCCGCUUUAUUGUGGCGUGACCGCGAGAACUUGUCUAAACCUUAUCAUCUAGAGGAAGGUGAUGUCGUAACA
rnacentral:rRNA from 1 species